AGUGAACGCUGGCGGUAGGCCUAACACAUGCAAGUCGAACGGCAGCACAGUAAGAGCUUGCUCUUACGGGUGGCGAGUGGCGGACGGGUGAGGAAUACAUCGGAAUCUACUUUUUCGUGGGGGAUAACGUAGGGAAACUUACGCUAAUACCGCAUACGACCUACGGGUGAAAGCAGGGGAUCUUCGGACCUUGCGCGAUUGAAUGAGCCGAUGUCGGAUUAGCUAGUUGGCGGGGUAAAGGCCCACCAAGGCGACGAUCCGUAGCUGGUCCGAGAGGAUGAUCAGGCACACUGGAACUGAGACACGGUCCAGACUCCUACGGGAGGCAGCAGUGGGGAAUAUUGGACAAUGGGCGCAAGCCUGAUCCAGCCAUACCGCGUGGGUGAAGAAGGCCUUCGGGUUGUAAAGCCCUUUUGUUGGGAAAGAAAAGUAGCAGGUUAAUACCCCGCUGUUCUGACGGUACCCAAAGAAUAAGCACCGGCUAACUUCGUG
rnacentral:rRNA from 1 species